rnacentral:lncRNA from 1 species
CCAGUUAGCAAAAGCCCAUUUAGGACCCGGUUGAAGGUAAAUUUUUUAGGAAGAAGAGGCGGCCAGAUUUGCUUAGCAACCUCAAGAUCUCCUUUGCGAAAUCUUGAUUACCAGUUAGCAAAAGCCCAUUUAGGACUAGGUUGAAGGUAAAUUUUUGAGGAAGAAAUCCUCUGUCAACCAUUUCUGUCAAUAGUUUCCCAGCCACUAAUAAAUCAUCUGAUUUUUUCCUAACAAACAUUGCACUUAUCAAAAUAUUAUAUGUAUCCAGAUUAGGUAUACAACCCCCAGUACUCAUCCUCUCAAACACCCUCAGGCCCUUCUCAAUUUCCCCUUCAUCACAAUAGCAUCGGAUGACAACAUUAUAAGUCUGAACAUUUGGUUCACACCCAUCCUCUUUCAUCUUAUCCAUAUAUCCGCCGAUACUCAUCCUCUCAAACACCCUCAGGCCUUUCUCAAUUUUCCCUUCAUCACAAUAGCAUCGGAUGACAACAUUAUAAGUCUGAACAUUUGAUUCCCACCCAUCCUCUUUCAUCUUAUCCAUAUAUUCCGUAGCCCUGUCCAUUUUUCCAACAUGGCACAAUCCCCUGAUAAUGGCAUUAUAAGUUGUGGCAUUCGGCAAAUAACCUUUCCUCAACAUCUCAUCGAACACCAAAAUAGCAUUUUCCACACUAUAUUUCUUACACAAGACUUGUAUCAACGCAUUAUAUGUUGCAACGGAGGGAAGUAUGCCAGCUCCCAGACAAAAUAGCAUUUUCCACACUUUCUUACAAAAACUUGUAUCAGCGCAUUAUAAGUUGCAACGGAGGGAAGUAUGCCAGCUCCCACCAUUUCAUUGAACACCUUUUGCGCCUUCUCAACUUCACCCGCAACACCAAAUCCGUGAACCAUAGUAGUGUAAGUAACAACAUCAAUAUCACAUUUCCUCCUUUUCAUCUGCAAAAGGAAUUCCCGUUCGCUAGUGUGUUAUAACUAAUCGUAUCAGCUCUGAACCUGCUCCUAAACAUCUUGAACAAAUUAUAAGCCAUCUCGGCCCGUUUAGAUUUACAAAGCACGUCAAGGAAUGCAUUGAAAGAAUUCAAAUCCUGAGGGCAACCAUGUUUAUGCAUAGACAGGAAAACCUUCAACGCUUUAUCAGCUUUCCCAGCAGAUACAUACCUCUAAGUGAUGAUAGCGAAUGUUUUCGGGCUCGGGCUGAGUCGCCGAGAUCGCAUUCGGGCCACGAGCUUCCAAACGAUCUUGUAAUCGCGCAUACGAGCAGCGAUGUCAAUAGCAUGGUCAAAGGCUGUAGUAGAGUGAGCAUAGGAACGAUGGUGAUCGAGGAGGUUGAAAAAAUGGAGGGCUUUAGGGCCGUAAUUCCAGAGACGCUUUAGGACAGCGUGAACGAGGUCAGGAGUCCAUUGGGUGAGGUUGUGAAGGGUGUUUGAUAAUGAUUCUGGUUGGUUUGAAGUAUGAGGUUGGAGAUUGUGAUGGGGUCUGGUGGUGACUGUGACGGCGAUUGUGGUGGUGACGGUGGUGGAGGAGAGGUGAAAUGGCGGAGGGAGAUGGAAAUGGGAUUUAGAGGUGAUUUGAUGAUUGUAGAAUUGUGCAGAUUCAGCAUUUCACCGUUCUGCUGCUUAUUUCCCUAAAGAGUAAAAACUGCGUGCAAACAAGUGUUGACGAACCCUUCAACUCAUGUUGGCUAAUUUUCUUAUUUUAUUUUUUAGGCGGGUAAUCAAUUAGACUAACCUCUAAAAUAAAUUGAAUUAGAUUAAUUCAAUAUUUUUAAAUUAAAAUUUAGAUACACAAAACUAUAUGAAAAAUCUCACAAUAUAAAUAUAAUGAUAAAUAUAUUUUAAAAUGUAGGUCCAAAUCCACAUAAUUUGACUUCGAAGAAGCAAAACAUGACAAUUAAUUUGGGACUGAGGGAAUAAAAGGAUUGCUUGGUUUGGAAAAUUGUGAGAUUAUAAUCACAGAUAUGAGGUAAACAUAUCAUUAUUUCAGUAUAAAAUUAAUCUAAGUAUUAGUUAAUAUUAAUAACCAAACACAAGAUAAAUGUAAUUUAAUAUUUUAUAUCAAAAUUAGUAUUCAUAGUGUUGAUAACCAAACGACUCCUAAUAGUAGCACGUAACCAAGUACGGUCGAAGCACCCUAGUCCAGCAUAUUUCUUUGACCACAUGCUAUAGUCUUGCAUUAAAAUAUUUUCUUGAAAAAUAACUUCAGUUAUAAAAUAUGUCUUUACAACUUCUACCCUAUGAGACGUAUCAACUUUAAGGUAGUUUGAUACAAAACUUGUUAACUAUAAUACGUGGUGUAUCUGAAAUUAGAGCGUUUAAUGCAAUUAACCGUACUAUAUUUUAUACCUAUAAAUAGAUACUUGAGCAUAAAUGAAGUUAUUACUCCCUUUAUGAUUUGUGUCUCUUCAUCUAUUUACCCAGCUUCCAUUUUAAACGAGUCAUUGGCAAAACAUGAACAUUCGCAUGGCACUUCAAAUUUUAGCAAUUAUAUCCAGGCCGAGAUUGCUAGCUCAGCACAGCCUCAGAGAAUUUGAAGUAGAAGUUAUAUUUAAAGAACUUCUUAGAAAUGGACCCUUACAGGAUUGAAGCAUAUGAGGUGAUGGGGAUACCAUUUUUUUGCACUUCAUUAUUUUAAAAAGUCAGUGUUGUUGCAGCCAAAGGAUUCUCGAGUGUGGAUGGCCCGAUGUUAAGAGAACAGCUGCAUAUGCUUGAGGAGGCAUAUCAAUACUGGAAGGAUUUCGAAAGGAUGGAUGCUGAAGAACGGAAAGGUCUAAAUCUGGUUGAAGCUUUAAUGUUUCUUGCCAGAUAUUAUAAAGCUCAAAAGAGAGUUGAAGAUGCAGAGUUUUAUUGCACCCACUUUCUUCAUUAUUCUGGCCCAGUAAGUUUUACCUCUCAUUAAGUAACUAACUAAAGAGUCUAUUUCUCUCUACUUUCUUCAUUAUUCUGGCCCAGUAAGUCUUACCUCUCAUUAAAUAACUAACUAAAGAGUCUAUUUCUCUCUAUGAUAAGUUAAAAUAUGUUCUGCUAAACCGCUAAUCAUUCUGGAAAACAACACUUUGAACAGCUUCCUCACUGUUUUUGGUCAUUAACGCAGAAGAAGGAAACAACAAAGUGCUUGAAGGAAUAAGAUUUGAAAUGGAUGUUGAGCAUUCGGAGUGGCGGGUAGAAAUGAUUCAAGGGCAAAAGAAUGCAGAUAUAGUAAUCAUAUCUUUGUUCAGAAAAGUUGGCCUAGUGGUCCAUUAUUUGUGAGAUUAUUUCAUGGACUGCCACUUUGGCUGAAUUUUGUAAAAUCAUUAAUAUGUUUUUCUUCAUCUAAUCAACACAAAGAGUAGCACCUUGAGUAUCAUUCGGAAAACCCAUUCGAAUAUAGGACAUAUACAUCUUAAUACAAACUUGUCACAACCAUAUUUUACAGACACACCAUACUGCAAUACAUCCAGCACAACAGAUUAGAGUCGAUCAGAUCACAUUACAAAUCUUGAUUCAAGAUGAUAAGGGUGAACUCUGAUAACUUUAUUCGAACUCAGUUGCAGGAUAUUAAUUCUUUUGUGGAUCACUGAAGAACCUAUUAAGGGAAGGGAAAAUUUCUGGUGGUCUACUACGAGCAAACUUUCUAACGGCAUGUUCAGCAUUUUUUUGUCCCUCUUCAAAGUUCUCCAGAACACCGGCAGCUCUUUUCUCCUUGCUUACCCUGUCCCGUGAUAUUAUUAAACAAGAAAAAUGUUAAGUUCUUGUCCAGUGUAAAAAAUAGUAGACAUAUAAAUGUUGCUGCAAAUAUUCAAUUCAUUGUUGAAACAAGUCUGUUAUCACCACUACUAGGCAUGGAAUUUAUGAUACUAGUUUGACUUGUUUAUCAAAGUUGAUUUCAAAUUUUGAAGGGAGUAUUAUUAACCCUUUUCUUGUCUUUAAUUAGCUUGUGUUUUUUUAUCAUAGCUUUUUACAAUGGGGAAAGGGGAAUUGCUCCUACAUAUAUAGUCUUAGUAUAAUAGAAUUAUUCCUACAUAGUCUUAGUAUAAUUCAACAGAUCAUAUAACUUGAAUAGCAAAAACUAGAUGUGAUGUCAACGGUGCACUCAAACAUUAUGGUUAUCAAAAAAUAAAAAUAAAAAAUUGAUGAAAUAAUGAUGGAUAACAAAGAUUUGGACAAUUCACAACAUUCUUGUUCUUAUUUUGAUUGAAGAAAAGUAGAAGAUCUACUAAGUAAGCCCAUAUUGACCAUGAAUGUAGCCAACUCAGCUUUAGCCUUUAGCAGGCAGGGGAAAGAAGAGAAUCCAAGGUAUCCGAGGGUAACAAGUAAGGGGGGAAAACCUGUAUUUGAAAGGAAUUGACCAAAAGAGAAGCAUAUGUUCGUAUUUCCAUCUGAGGAAUUGACCAAAACUACUGUAGAAAUACACUAAAUUAUACUGCGAAAUAGAGUAAUAACAAAAAAGAAAAAAAAGCAAGUAUUUGAGGAGAGAAACAAGGCGAACCUGACUUCAGGAUUGAUACCCAUAUUACGAACUAGCUGAAGUCCACAGAUUCCAAUGGCAACACCUAUGGCUGCAAACAGUGGAUAUACCUGUACUCACACAUCAAGCUUAGAAAUUUCGGAAAUUUUGAACAAGUAUACAAAAAAGUGAAGGAUAAAAGAUACCUCAGGCCUGAGCCAGCGAUUAGUAGCCAUGGAAAGAAGCAGUUUGAUUACAACAAGGGACAAAGGAUGAUUCACAGAGAGAGACAAGGAUAGAGAUGAGGAUUGAGGAGUACUAGUACAAUAAUGGAGAGCAAUAAACAAGUUUUAUUAUGAUAAAUAUCAUAUUAUGUUGGAUGUCAACUCAUCUUCCAUGAUCUUCAUCUCAAAUACUUAAUGACAUAUUCAAUGACAUAUUUUGUAUGUUCAAUGAAAUAUUCCAUGACAUAUUUUCUUCACUUUACAAAAAUAAUCGGAUUACAAAAAUUAUACGGAAUUCAGAAUUUACCUAGAGAAAAUUUAAAACGGGCUUCUUUUACUUGUAAACAAUUCGCGACGAGGGUGAUCAAACUAGUUUACUUUAGCAGUGUUUAACAGCAAGUUUACUCGCGUUAAAAAUAUAAUCAAAAAAUAUCAACAGUCCCUGAUAUGAAUUAGCUCGGAGUUCAGUCAACCAUCUAAAUUUGUGAAACAAAAUAAAAACUUUAGAGAGUAAUUAUAAGAUCCUGCACUACAGACAAAAACCAGUAAGAAUAUGACAAGAAAGACAUCUGUUGCAAUCAAAACAACAAAUAAUGUUUUUGUACAGUGAAACCAACAAGAUACGCUGCAAGAGUAAUAUGGAGAGUAAUUUGCUGUAUAGCUAGUUAUCCAACAAAAAUUGUGAACGAUGAAUUAGUUAGAAUUUUUUGAUAAGCAUGAAUGAUGACAAAGAAUUACUGCCAGAAAACAGAUAUUAAACAUUAAACCUACAACAAUACAUAGCAGGAAAUCAUGUCAAAAUUAUAUUAAGUGAUACUCCAUAUAUAUUUAUGUGACUACAAGGAAAUUCUUCUGGCAAUAGCUAGCUAGCUAAUUUCUUUUACGAAGUGAUUAGUUCCAAUGAGAAACUGUAACCUAGCUAAAAGCUACUCCUAUUUUUACUGUAAAUUUCAUCUGGUACUUCAUUCAACAAAGUUAUAUAUAAAUUGAUUGCUGCAUGUCUCUCCUCCUGUCGGCCAUCGAUAUAUCUGCUUCCCCUUCAUUACUCAUGCUUACCAGAUUAUAUCUCCAAACUCGUCUAUUCCUAUGAGCAUAUCAUCUGCCCAAUUGACCUCCUCCUGUUGGUAGUUGGAGUAGUCAUUAAUAAUAUUGCUGUAAUUAUUGUAUUCGUUCAUCUUCUGUGUCUCGUGCAUAACUUGAUGUUGAUCAGCUGCUUGACAUAUUGUUGCUGUUUGUACUGUUGUGCAGUAAUCUUCAUUAGUUUCAUGCAACAUAGCUUCGAUUGUUUUUGGAACAUCUUGUUUCUCCAUAUUUACCCCAUGAAUUUUCUUUGAUCUUAUAUUCUUCUUGAUUAAAGAACCUUCUCUUCGGGAUGAUCAGAAUUAGCUUCAAAUAUCUCCCAUGGUGGUUGGUCUCCAUAGAUAUCGGCAAGUUGGAAAUUAUGGCAUUCACUCGAGCAAAAGCUUGCCCUUUAGGAACCUUUUCAGAAAGUUGAUCAACUCUGCUUCAGUAGGGUGAAACCGAACACCCAUGAUACACCCACGGCAUGCAGCCGGCACCAUCGACAUGGUAUAUAUGGUCGUCUCUUUUUCUUGCUUAUAGAGAAACACAAGAACGAGACAAUAGUAGUUGCCGCAAUAUGCAAAGACAAGAACUAGGAAACAAAACCAUAAACGAAUGGCGGAAGUUAAUUGAUGUGAAUGCUGUAAUAUAAUUGACUAUUUAUAGAUAUCUGAUCAGGUUAAUUCCAACAACGAAAAUUUAGGAAACAAAUUUAUAGGAGAGAAAAGAAGAGUUGAUUUCUGCGGAAGGUUAACGCUUGGGGCUCAAGUUAGUUUUUUCGUAAUAUACAAUGCGUAAAUUUUUAAAAUGCAUGUAUGAUUUAAUCUAUUUGGCGCAUUUCUUUCUUUUUAUGUGAUAAUUGUGGUUAGGAGAAAAGAAGUGGUGAUUUCUGCGGAAGGUUAACGCUUGGGACUCAAGUUAGUUUUUUCGUAAUAUACAAUGCGUAACUUUUUAAAAUGCAUGUAUGAUUUCAUCUAUUUGGCGCCUUUCUUUCUUUUUAUGUGAUAAUUGUGGUGUACUGGCCAGCUUGCGCGCACCUCGACUAGUCCCAUGGGAUACCUGUCACCUCCCACCAGCAACAAGUACCAGAAGGCUUGGACAAAUUUAAAGAGGUUUGAACCUCAGACCUCAUGGUUCUCACCCACUUCGUUGACCUCUAGGCUGCAUCCCGCAUGACCUUUCUUUUUAUUUUCUUUAAGGAGUUGAAUAACCCUUCCCCUUUGUGAGACCUCAUGGUUCUCACUCACUUCGUUGACCUCUAGGCUGCAUCCCGCAUGACCAUUCUUUUUAUUUUCUUUAAGGAGUUGAAUAACCCUUCCCCUUUGUCUUACCUAAAGGUGUUGGAGAGCGUUGCCUUGGGAGAUCUGCUUUUUAGUUUCAGCCAGUCUUGAAGUACUUGGUUUAUGCAUCACCGGAUUGCUGAGCAUGGAUCGCGGAUCAACGGUUUCCUUUUUCCGAUAUUACUACUUCCGACAAGAAAGACCUAUCUAUGCUGUUAUAUAGUGACUGAAUAGAAUGUUUGAAUUGCCAAUCUUUGGCGUUUUUGUGAAAAAUAGAGAGCAUACCUGAUAAUCAUGCAGGGAUAUUGUCAUAAUCUAUGCUGUAGAUAGAUUUUUCCAUCCAACCUCAACUAAGGCUUCAGGCUUCAGUGUCAUUAUAAAAGAUUAGAAACACUAAAUGAUUACAUACUAAAAACCAAUAGGUUCUCCUAAUACAAUAGCUCCCGCUGCAUUUACUACAACCCCUACUAACAUGAUAUAAGUGAAUAAUGCAUAUUACUUAAUAGACAAUAGCUCCCGCUGCAUUUACUACAGCCCCUACUAACAUGAUAUAAGUGAAUAAUGCAUAUUACUUAAUAGAUUUUCAACUCUUUCUUUUUUUUUGAUAAAGUAAAGAUUUUCAGCUCAAUUUUAUUCCGUUCUAUUUGGAGUACUCAUAAUCUGGUACUUUUGGAACCGAUGUUGCAAUUUUUUUAGCCAAGUGUUUCUACACUACUCAUUUUGUAGAAUGUUAAUUUUUAGUUAUGAGUUAGUUGCAAUGUUUCACAAGUACAUAAGGGGCUUUUGGAUGAGUUUUCUGUAGCCAAGUGUUUCUACACUACUCAUUCUGUAGAAUGUUAAUUUUUAGUUAUGAGUUAGUUGCAAUGUUUCACAAUUACAUAAGGGGGCUUUGGGAUGAUUUUUCUGAGAAUAUUAAGCUGAAAAUCAGCAAUGGAAAGUGAAUAAAAAUGUGGAUAGACAAGUCGCUAGAUGAUAUUCCUCUCAAAGACCAAUUCCAAACCUUUACACAAUCAGUUCCAAUAAGGACUGCACUACGGCUGACUGCUUUUCUCCUUGUGGAUGGAACCUGCAGGCUACAUCUGAGGAGAAACAUGAAUGAUUGAGAGAUUGGUUGUAUUAAUGUCCAGAAGUUGGAGUCGGUUUCUCUUGACACUCUAAUGUGGAAGAUGAAGAAAAGAUGGAAAGUUUAGUUGUAUUAAUGUCCAGAAGUUGGACGAUGUUUCUCUUGACACUUUAAUGUGGAAGAUAAGAAAAGAUGGCAAGUUUACUGUUAAUGCUUGCUACAAAAGUCUACUAAAGAAUAGAGGAGGAGUCUCAAGUUAGUUGGCCAAGGAAGAUUACCUGGAAGACAAUUGCAAUUAAAUUGGAUUGCCACUUGUCAAGCUUACUUAACUCAAGAUAACUUGCAGAAGAGAGGCCUACCUAUGUAUAGCAGAUAUUUCCUUUGUGAGGAGGCUAAUGAAUUUGUCACUCACAUACUGCUUCAUUGCACCUUCACAAGGCAGAUUUGAUUAGUGUUCCUUAGUAUUUUUGGGUUCUAAUGGAUCAUGCCAGGAGUUAUCAAACUUACUCUAUGCUGCUGGCAUAAGCGCUUGUUUCGGCAACAGACAGUUCUGGAAAGCUGUUCCUAAUUGUACUUUCUGGAACACUUUGAUAGGGAGAAACAAUAGGUGCUUUAAUGAUAAGAGGGACAACAUUUCAUUUGUAAAUUUGUGGACUAAGAACAGUAUUGUCUGACAUAAACCCACUGUCUGCAUUCUCUAUAAGAGGGACAAUAUUUCAUUUGUAAAUUUGUGGACUAAGAACAGUAUUGUCUGACAUAAACCCACUGUCUGCAUUCUCUUCAAUCUGUAGAAGUAUGCUUCCCGCUUUCUGGUGUAAUCUCUCAGUACCAUCUUGGUACAUUCAAUAAAAUAUCUACCUUUUCAUAAACAAAAAAGUUUCGGAAGUAGAAAAUAGGCUUGUGUGGUUCCCUCUUUUCCAUUUUUAUCUGUACUUUGUAUUUUAUAGUUUCACAACAACAACCUAGUAAUCACACUUAGUGGGGUCUAGGGAGGGUAGUUUGUACGCAGACCUUACCCCUACCCUUGGGUAGAGAGGCUGUUUCUAAAUAGACCCCCGGCAUCCUUCCCUCCAAGAACUUCCCACCUUGCUCUUGGGAAGACUCGAACUCACAACCUCUCAGCUGGAAGUGGGGGUUGCUUACCAUCAGAGCAACCCCUCUUGUCUUGAUACUCACGGACCUGAGUGCAUUAAUAUGUUGUGUAUCAUAUUAUACAUCAGUUGACAGAUUUAGUGGUAAAGACUCAACAGCGAAAUUAACAUCACCAAAUAUUGGAUGAAAUCAACCAUCAUUUCUCGGUAAUAACAGCUCAUCCAUUGACACCAUUAUGAUGUAUAUCUCAGUAUAAUCACAGAGACGGAUUGCAGGAAAAAAAAUGAAAAAACAAGAACUAAAGAACUGUAGUCUAAUUUCACCUUUUGCAUAAGUUGCGACUAUGUCUGAACAUAGAAGAUUGUUUUUUGUGGCGCAAAAGAAAAGCAGACAAAUCCUCCAUUGAGUUGCACCCAUUCAAUAUGACUAACCAAUCCUUGAUGUACACAAAAAAAUUUAUGCACUGUUGGCAAAAUGUAAUUACAUUUGUAGGAUGAGCAUGCAUAAACCAACACUGUUGGCAAUAAUGAUUCAUGUAAUGCGCAAGCUGUUGGAAUUGCCAACUAAAACUCAGAUUAAAAGAUAAAACGUAAUGUACCCAAGGGUGUGACCUAGUGGUCAAUGCGCAAGUAUCUAAUGCGCAAGUUGUUGGAAUUGCCAACUAAAACUCAUAUUAAAUGAUAAUGUACCCAAGGGUGUGGCCUAGUGGCCAAUGCGCAAGUAUCCUGUGGAAUUAGGCGAGGUGCGCGCAAGCUGCCCGAGCACCACGGUUAUAAAAAGAAAAAGAAGAUAAAUGUAAUAAUCCAAACAAAAAUAGCAGAAAAUUUGCAGCAGAACCAUGACUGACAUAAUCUAUCAUUAAUUAGGAAAUGCGUUAAGUAAUAAAUAUUACUAGAUCCUAAAAGUAUGAGAUAUAACACCAUUUGUGAAAUAAUAACUCUAGCGUUUCAAUAAGCUAAGUGAAAAUUCUCACGUAUGCAAAGUGGGAUUAUACUGCGUUGUUAUUUUAUAGUCAAAGUGCUAUUCAAUUAGCGAAGAACCAAGUUUAUCAUGCAAAAACGAAGCACAUUGAUGUUCGGUAUCAUUAGUGGUGACUGCGAUCAAGUUUCAACAUUGUUGAACACUGAAGAUUGAAGAUGAAACACAACCAAAAUUUGUUACCGAGAGAAAAUUGAAGAUGUGGUAUUUCGCCAAGGUGGAGAUUUGUUGAAUAUGUCUUCAUCCCACAUCGGUGGGAGAUUCAUUUGGGGGAGAGUUUCUCCCUAUAAAAGGAGGCCUAAUGUUUAGGAUUUAAAUGCACCUCUCAUUUUCCUUCUCAUCUGUUUAAGGCAUUUGUAUCUUCUCUCUUUAGUAUUAUUUUACUUGUAUUUUAGAGUGAAAUAAAACGUUGGUUGUGUCCGAGGAAUAGGCAAAAUUGGCCGAACCUCGUAAAUUCUGGUGUUCCUUUUAUUGUUGCUUUAUUGUCUUAUUUAUUAUUUGGUGGUUACCAUAUUUUUUGGAAUAGUAGUUGUGACUCAUUCACACUAUAUACAUUUGGCUUCCGCAACAGUUUAUGCAAUGGACCAGGUAAAUCACAUGCUUAUCUAUGUGGUGAAUGCAGUUUUACUAAAGCAGUAUGGGAAAGGCUUAUGCAAUGGCUAUGAAUUCAUGUGGAUCCCAAGCAGUACUCUUUUACACAGAUGAUGGCAUGGGUAGUAAAACAAGCUAAGGGAAAAUCAUGUGCAGCUAGAGUAAUGAAAAUGGUAUAUGCAGAACAAAUCUAUGGGACAUAGAAGGAGAGAAACAAUAGAAUAUUUGAAGAGACAAACAUGACUGCAGAUCAAGUAGCAAGAGAAGUGGCAUGUGUUUGCAAUAUUAGAGCUCAAGGAGGAAUGAGGGCAAAACUGCAUCAGCUUAUGUUCUGAAAACAAUGUAGAAACUAACCAGUCAUUUGUAUAGUAUUCUUAUAUGUACUGCUCAUAGCGUAGGAUAGACCUAGACUAUAUGUAAAGAUUAAGUGAGUCGAGGACUCUACUGAUUUGUAAUGACCUCUUUAGUGAUUAAUGGAAAAUAUAAUUACAAAAAAAAAACUAGCUAUAAUCCUUUUUAAUUUUUUUUUCUUUUUUGAACCCCUUAGGGAAAAUCUUGCAUCCGCUUGUGGUCACAAAUGUUGUUAAACGUUCGCUUUGAUAAAACAUUAUUACUCCACUAUGCACGCAUCUUCUUUUGUGUUAGUCAAAAAUGGUCAUCACUUGAUGUUGAUGCUAUUAGGAGAGUUUUAUAAUGUCUUCGAAGGCUAGAUUCCGAUUUUUUUUCCCUCUCCUGGGUAUGCUCUGCCCUUUGCAUACGUGAGAAUUUUCACUUAGCUUAUUGAAACGCUAGAGUUAUUAUUUCACAAAUGGUGUUAUAUCUCAUACUUUUAGGAUCUAGUAAUAUUUAUUACUUAACGCAUUUACUAAGUAAUGCUAGAUUAUGUUAGUCAUGGUUCUGCUGCAACUUUUCUGCUAUUUUUGUUUGGAUUAUUACAUUUAUCUUCUUUUUCUUUUUAUAACCGUGGUGCUCGGGCAGCUUGCGCGCACCUCGCCUAAUUCCACAGGAUACUUGCGCAUUGGCCACUAGGCCACUCCCUUGGGUACAUUACGUUUUAUCAUUUAAUCCGAGUUUUAGUUGGCAAUUCCAGCAACUUGCGCAUUACAUGAAUUAUUAUUGCCCGCAGUGUUGGUUUAUGCAUGCUCAUCCUACAAAUGUAAUUACAUUUUGAUAAAAGGAAACUACAAAAUACAAAGUACAGAUAAAAAUGAAAAAGAGGGAACCACACAAGCCUAUUGUCUACUUACGAAACUUUUUUGUUUAUGAAAAGGUAGAUAUUUUAUUGAAUGGUCCCAAGAUGGUACUGAGAGAUUACACCAGAAAGCGGGGAGCAUACUUCUACAGAUUGAAGAGAAUGUAGACAGUGGGUUUAUGUCAGAGACAAUACUGUUCUUAGUCCACAAAUUUACAAAUGAAAUGUUGUCCCUCUUACCAUUAAAGCACCUAUUGUUUCUCCCUAACAAAUAUUGCAUGCUAUUUUAUUUAUGAUUCUUAUUCUUAUGUUUAGAUAAUUAUGUACGCUUUUUCGGCUGAAGUUACUAAUGUUCUUUUGUUUUUGUGUUUGUUUUUGUUUUUGUUUUUGUUUUUGUUUUUGUUAUUGUUUUUGUUUUUCCUUCAAUGAGCCGAGGGUCGAUUGGAAACAGCCUCUCUGCCCUUUCGGAAUGUCCUUUUGUUUUUGUUAUUCCUUUUCUCUCCUGAGCCAAGGGUCGAUUGGAAACAGUCUCUCUGCCCUUUCGGACAGGGGUAAGGCCUGUCUACAUAUUACCCUCCCCAGACCCCACUUCGUGGGACUAUACUGGGUAGUUGUUGUUGUUGUUGAAAAGGUAGAUAUUUUAUUGAAUGGUACCAAGAUGGUACUGAGAGAUUACACCAGAAAGUGGGGAGCAUCCUUCUACAGAUUGAAGAGUCUGUAGAAGAGAAUGCAGACAGUGAGUUUAUGUCAGAGACAGUACUGUUCUUAGUCCACAGAUUUACAAAUGAAAUGGUGUCCCUCUUAUCAUUAAAGCACCUAUUGUUUCUCCCUAACCAAGUGCUCCAGAAAGUACAAUUAGGAACAGCGUUCCAGAUCUGUCUAUUGCUCAAACAACUGCUUAUACCAGCAGCAUAGAGUAAGUUUGAUACUUCCUGGUAUAACCCAUUGGACCGCAAAAAUACUAAGAAAAUCUGCUUUGUGAAGGUGCAAUGAAGCAGUAUGUGAGUGACGGAUUCAUUAGCCUCGUCACAAAGGAAACAUCUGCUACACAUAGGUAAGCCUCUCUUCUAGAAGUUAUCUUGAGUUAACGCAAUGAAGCAGUAUGUGAGUGACAGAUUCAUUAGCCUCGUCACAAAGGAAACAUUGCUACACAUAGGUAGGCCUCUCUUCUGCAAGUUAUCUUGAGUUAAGCAAGCUUGACAAGUAGCAAUCCAAUUUAAUUGCAAUUGUCUUCCAGGUAAUCUUCCUUGGCCAACUAACUUGAGACUCAUCUAUUCUUUAGUAGACUUUUGUAGCAAGCAUUAACACUAAACUUGCCAUCUUUUCUUCAUCUUCCGCAUUAGAGUGUCAAGAGAAACCGGCUCCAACUUCUGGACAUUAAUACAAUCAAUCUCUCAAUCAUUCAUGUUUCUCCUCAAGGAGAAAAGCAGUCAGCCGUAGUGCAGUCUUUGUGUAAAAGUCUGGGAAUUGGUCUUUGAGAGGAAUAUCAUCUAGCGACCUGUCUAUUCACAUUUUUAUUCACUUUCCAUUGCUGAUUUUCAGCUUGAUAAUCUCAAAAAACUCAUCUCAAAGCCCCUUAUGUACUUGGGAAACAUUGCAACUAACUCAUAACUGAAAAUUUACAUUCCACAAAAUUGAGUAGGGUAGAAACACUUGGCUAAAAGAAAAUUACAACAUAAGUUCAAAAGUACCAGAUUAAGAAUACUCCAAGUAGAACGGAAUAAAAUUGAGCUGAAAAUCUUUACUUUAUCAAAAAGGGGGGGGGGGGGGGAAAUCUAUUAAGUAAUAUGCACUAUGCACUUAUAUCAUGUUAGUAGGGGCUGUAGUAAAUGCAGUGGGAGCUAUUAAGUAAUAUGCAUUAUUCACUUUUAUCAUGUUAGUAGGGGUUGUAGUAAAUGCAGUGGGAACUAUUGUAUUAGGAGCACCGGUAGGUUUUGAGUAUGUAAUCAUUUAGGGUGUGAUUGGUAUAACGCAAAAUAUUUUCCGUGAAAAAUACUUUCCAAGAAAAUAUUUUCUUCGAAAACAAGUAGUAAUCUUAUUUAUUUUCCGGUGUUUAAAAUAUUUUCCGUGAAAAAUGCUUUCCAAGAAAAUAUUUUCUUGAAAAACAAGUAGUAAUCUUAUUCAUUUUCCGGUAUUCGGUAUGCAAAUUAAGGAAAAUAACUUCUCAAGAGUAUUCAUAAAUAAUUUAGAUACAAUAAUCAUGAAACCUUAAACAAUUGAACCAACAACCUUCCGAACCCACAAAUUUCAUAAACUUCCGAACUGCUAAACUUCGAAACAGCGAACUUGACCGGAAAAAAAAACAGAAAUUUGAAAGAGAAAAAAAGCCUUUUUUGGAGAGAGGGGGUGGGGCAGGUAGGCAUUGGGGUGGGUGGGUGUAGCAUGGGUUGAUGAGGGUGGAAAAGGUUGAGAAGGAGUUUGGGAAAAUGUUUUUCUCUAGAUAAGGAAAACCUUUUCCUCCAAUUGGAGGAAAAUGAGUUCAUAAGGAAAAACAUUUUCCUCCUUCCAUGAUCAUCAGGUAUGCUCUCUAUUUUUCACAAAAUCGCCAAAGAUUGGCAAUUCACACAUUCUAUUCAGUCCAUAGAUGGGUUUUUCUUGUCGGUAGUAGUAAUAGCGGGAAAAGGAAACCGCUGAUCCGGGAUCCAUGCACAGCAAUCUAGUGAUGCAUAAACCAAGUACUUCAAGACUGACUGAAACUAAAAUGCAGAUCUCGCAAGGCAACACUCUCCAACAACCUUUAGGUAAGACAAAAGGAAAGGCUUAUUCAACUUCUUAAAGAAAAAUAAAGAAAAAGAUCAUGCUUACACCCAGGGAUGCGGCCUAGAGGCCAAUGAAAUGGGAGGGAAAGGCUUAUUCAACUCCUUAAAGAAAAAUAAAGAAAAAGAUCAUGCCAACACCCAGGGAUGCGGCGUAGAGGCCAACGAAAUGGGAUCUCAGGUUUAAAUCCCAACGGAGACAAAAACACUAGGUGAUUUUUGUAAAUUUGUCCAAGCCUUAUGAUACCUAUUGUUGGUGGGAGGUGACAAGUAUCCUGUGGGACUAGUCGAGGUGCGCACAAGCUGGCCAGGACACCACAAUUAUCACAUAAAAAGAAUGAAAGGCGCCAAAUAGAUGAAAUCAUACAUGCAUUUUAAAUUGUAUCAGCAACAAUUUCGAAUAUUAUACAGUAUAGACUUGAAUCAAUGCAAGUUAGUUAAUGAUCACGAAAAGUUGAACACAAGAAUUUCUAUCUUUGUGUUGAGUUAUAGCUUAUUGUUGUUUCAAGCAAAGACCAAAAUCACAGAGAAGGUGUCUGAAAAUGCUAGGAAUUCAAAGUGUCAGCAUGUUCAUCAACUAGUGUCUUUGGGAUCAAGCAGUUGAAGCGAGCACAUAUAAACUUGAGAGAAUUAAAUUGCUUAUUGAACUGUUUCCCCUUUUUUGGGUAACAACAACACCACCAAAGUCAUCAAAGAGAGCACAUAUAAACUUGAGAGAAUUAAAUUGCUUAUUGAACUGUUUCCCCUUUUUGGGUAACAACAACACCACCAAAGUCAUUCAUCAACUUAGCAAUUACGAAUCAACAACAACAACAACUACCCAGUAUACUCCCACCAGGUGGGGUCUGGGGAGGGUAAUAUGUAGACGAGCCUUACCCCUACCCGAAAGGGCAGAGAGGUUGUUUCCAAUCGACCCUCGGCUCAUAGGAAAAGUUACAAAUGCCAUUUCUAAUAAAUGAGCAGAAUAUUAUUUAGAAGAUGUAUUGAGACCAAAUUCUAAACACUCAUCAGACAAGACAAGAAACGGAGGAUGAAGAACUCCUACAACAACUACUACUGAUCAGAAUAUUGUUUAGGAUUCUAAACACUCAUAAGAAAAUUGUUUAGAAAGACGUUUGGAUAUUCACUUUUCCUAGGAAAGUUCUACUAUUCUAAGACAUAAUGUGACCAAAUAACAUCAUAAAAUUGGACAAAAUAUGUAAUUGGAAAUGGGUAACUUAUGUUCCUAUGUCGUAAUUAUAAAGAAAAGACCUCAAAUAUUUACAACUUGCACAAAAUGCUUAUAGCUUUUUGCUCUUUGCACUAAGUUAUUAAUUACAACUAUGAGAGUAUGAUUGACGAACUACCUAUAAGUCGAUAAAAGCUUUACUUCCGAAAGUUUAUAGAUGGAUUUUAAGGAUUAGAUAGCAACAUUUUACCAAGCAAGAAAAUUUACAAAGGCAAGCAAUUUGUUUGAGAAGAGUAACCCCAAUGUCUAAUAGACGUGAAGGCGAACACUUACCCAUUAGACUAAAGCAUAGACAUGAAUAUAUCACACAAAUUUUAAGUGAAACCAACACUAGAAUAAUCGAACAGAACUAAAAGAAUAUGUUUAUAAAAAAUAUUACCAAAUAAAGAAAAAGGAGCAGCGAAACGAUUUUUCUGAUUAACCAAGAAAGCAAACAAUGAAUAUCGAAUAUCCAACAUCGAUAGCAAACAUCGAACAAAAAUCUCAUGGUUUCAAACGAAAAAUCAAAACUUGACAAAUAAAUGCCCCAAUUUUGCAAACUAGAAAUCACAGCGAAUAUCGAACAUUGACUGCAAAAAUGAAACACAUAAAAUAUUACCAGAAAGAUUAGGGCAGCAAAAUGAUUUUCCUAGAUAUUACCAGAGAAAGAAAAAAGGAGAAAAUGGAGAAAGAAAAAGGAGCAGCGAAAGAUAAAAUUAACCGAGAAAGAAAAAGCCCCCGAAAUAAUACCAGAGAAAGAAAAAAGGAGCAACGAAACUAUUUUCUAAAUAGCCAAGAAAGAGAAUAUCGAUAGCAAACAUGGAACAAAGAAAAUCUCAUAGUUGCAAACAGAAAAUCAAAACCUAACAAAUAAAUCCCUCAACUUUGCAAACUAUAAAUCACAAAUGUAUCAUGUAAUAUAAAUAAAGCAGAAGCAAAAUAAUGUGUUUACAAGAACUAAUACCAGAUAAAGAAAACAUAAGUGGAAAAAGAAAGAGAAAAUCGAAUAGUUAUACAAACAUCAAACAUGGGAAUAAUUGAUAACCUACCUCGAAGAUAACUCGUAUGUUAGCCGAAACUAGUUUUCAUUCACCGGCAGUAGUCAUCCUUCGCCGGAGCUGGCCGAUAGAGUUCGUCAAUGGUGAGGUCGACGCGUUCUAGGUUGAGGAUGGGAGAGAGCUUAGCAAUUACGAAUCAUAUUCUUAAAUUUUGAACUGCAAAGAUUCAGUAAAUGUAUGACCGCAAUUUAUUUUCUAAACUUUCAUUAAGAAUAAAAGAGGGAAAAAGGAACCUGUAUACACGAAUGUGGUUUUAACUGGAUGUCACCAUCAGUGUCAUUUUUUGUGUAUAUAUCAACAACAAGAAGUGCUGAAUUAUCCGGCAGAAGCAAAAAUGGGAGCAUUUUGAUAUCGUCCAAUGACAUUGUGCACCUCCGUUUGCAUGAUAUACCUAAUUUGCAACUCCACCUCGUUUAAGUCCUAGGCCAAAGUCAGAGCACUCUGCUAAACAACACAAGUUCUUUUUAGUGGCAUGCUUUUUAAGUCAGUUUCAUAAAAAACUCUUCACAUCCAUCAUACUUAUCCACAUCUUACCACACUCCAAAAUUGAAUUUCAUGGGAAGCAACAAACUUAUCUCAUUUAGAGCUUUAAGAUUUCAUUAAGCUCCAAAUAGGCACUUAGUUUGGGUAUCAUCCUUACACUGAUGUGCUUCACAGUUUAAAAUGGUAGCGGAGGCGGCCAGAUUUGCUUAGCAAACUAAAAAUAUCCUUUGCAAAAUCUUGAUUACCAGUUAGCAAAAGCCCAUUUAGGAUCCGGUUGAAGGUAAAUUUUCGAGGAAGAAAUCCUCUGUCAACCAUUUCUGUCAAUAGUUUCCCAGCCAAUAAUAAAUCAUCUGAUUUUUUCCUAACAAACAUUGCACUUAUAAAAAUAUUAUAUGUAUCCAGAUUAGGUAAACAAUCGUCGGUACUCAUCCUCUCAAACACCCUCAGGCCCUUCUCAAUUUCCCCUUCAUCACAAUAAUAUCGGAUGACAACAUUAUAAGUCUGAACAUUUGGUUCACACCCAUCCUCUUUCAUCUUAUCCAUAUAU